rnacentral:rRNA from 1 species
GAUGAACGCUAGCUACAGGCUUAACACAUGCAAGUCGAGGGGUAACGAGAGGAAAGCUUGCUUUCCUUGUCGACGACCGGCGCACGGGUGAGUAACGCGUAUCCAACCUGCCCCCAACUAGGGAAUAACCUUGCGAAAGUAAGACUAAAACCCUAUAAUUUCCUCAGAUGACAUCUGACGAGGAAUAAAGAUUUAUCGGUUGUGGAUGGGGAUGCGUCUGAUUAGCUUGUUGGCGGGGUAACGGCCAACCAAGGCAACGAUCAGUAGGGGUUCUGAGAGGAAGGUCCCCCACAUUGGAACUGAGACACGGUCCAAACUCCUACGGGAGGCAGCAGUGAGGAAUAUUGGUCAAUGGGCGGAAGCCUGAACCAGCCAAGUAGCGUGCAGGAUGACGGCCCUAUGGGUUGUAAACUGCUUUUAUACAGGAAUAAAGUUAGCCACGUGUGGUUAUUUGUAGGUACUGUAUGAAUAAGGACCGGCUAAUUCCGUGCCAGCAGCCGCCGUAA